AAGCGGAGCCCCGUCGGCCCUGGCCUGCGCCCUCCCCUGCGGGGGUGGGGACAGGGGCCCGAGGGGCCGAGGGCAGGGCGGGCACCCGGAGGCCGCAGGAAGAGGCGGGUCGCGCGCUACCUUCUUGCUGGCGCGGGCGAGCUGGGCCUCUGAGCGGUCCUGGGGCGAGCGUUCACGGCGCCGGCGCGCGCCGCCGGGACCUCGCCAGUCCGCGAGGCAUGUCUGCACCCCAGAGCACGGAUUGCGCCCCGGUACACACAGCACGUGUGCACCCCAACACUCUGUCCUGGAAUCUCGGGAUUCAACGACCAAAGCCAGGAACCUACCGAUUCAUCAAGUUUGAGCAUCUCCAGCUGAACUAAAAAUAUAAUUUUUGGAAAAAGUUUUAACAUCUAUUUUUGUAAUACACCACAAGAAGCAAAAUUGAAACAGCCAAGAUUCUUCAGCGUUUCUUCAAAAUUAAGCACUUUUCCUUAGUGGCAUAUUUAAGUAUGUUUUAUCUACUGGCCUUCUAAGCUUGUUAAGAAAACUGAAGAAAACCACAAUGUAAAGCCAAUAAAAAAAUAAAAUUUUCUGACUUUUUA